UACGGAGGGUGCAAACGUUGCUCGGAAUCAUUGGGCGUAAAGCGCACGUAGGCGGUCUGCUAUGUCGGGUGUGAAAUCCCUCGGCUUAACCGAGGAAGUGCAUUCGAAACUGGCAGACUUGAAUACUCAAGAGGGUCUCGGAAUUCCCGGUGUAGAGGUGAAAUUCGUAGAUAUCGGGAGGAACACCAGUGGCGAAGGCGGAGACCUGGGGAGAUAUUGACGCUGAGGUGCGAAAGCGUGGGGAGCAAACAGG
rnacentral:rRNA from 2 species